rnacentral:SRP_RNA from 1 species
CCUGCCUGGGCCGCCUGCUGCAGGGCCGCUGACUGCUCCAUCCGAGGAGCCACACCCGGCGCUGGCACGAAGGCCAGGCGACAUACAAGGGCAGCAAACACAGCAGCGAAGAUCACCGCGAGAGGCGAGCGAGAUCGCGCCAUAGCUUGCGAAGGG